rnacentral:lncRNA from 1 species
CUAGCAUGCUUCUUGCUUUGCUCCCCUUUUUGGCUUGGCUUUUUGCCAUGGCUUUCUACCGCCUUUCUUAAGCUCAUCACCUUUCUUGCCUUAGUUUGGCUGAUUCUUCUCCUUGAUCCCAUACCAUUGGGAUAGCUUCAUGAUAUCUUCAACUUUAAAGAGAUAGAGACCUCCAAUAUGCAUUUCAUGAAGACCACAUGAUUAUUGAUAGAGAUCAUGAGUGAGAUAGAUUACUUGUCGAACUUGAUGGUAUACUCUUU